UCCGGUUGAUCCUGCCGGACCCGACUGCUAUCAGAGUGGGACUAAGCCAUGCGAGUCAACAUAGCAAUAUGUGGCAUACGGCUCAGUAACACGUAGUCAACAUGCCCAGGGGACGUGGAUAACCUCGGGAAACUGAGGAUAAACCGCGAUAAGUCACUGCUUCUGGAAUGGGCAAUGACUUAAAUCUAUAUGGCCCCUGGAUUGGACUGCGGCCGAUCAGGCUGUUGGUGAGGUAAUGGCCCACCAAACCUGUAACCGGUACGGGCUCUGAGAGGAGGAGCCCGGAGAUGGGCACUGAGACAAGGGCCCAGGCCCUAUGGGGCGCAGCAGGCGCGAAACCUCUGCAAUAGGCGAAAGCCUGACAGGGUUACUCUGAGUGAUUUCCGUUAAGGAGAUCUUUUGGCACCUCUAAAAAUGGUGCAGAAUAAGGGGUGGGCAAGUCUGGUGUCAGCCGCCGCGGUAAUACCAGCACCCCGAGUGGUCGGGACGUUUAUUGGGCCUAAAGCAUCCGUAGCCGGUUCUGCAAGUCUUCCGUUAAAUCCACCUGCUUAACAGAUGGGCUGCGGAAGAUACUAUAGAGCUAGGAGGCGGGAGAGGCAAGCGGUACUCGAUGGGUAGGGGUAAAAUCCGUUGAUCCAUUGAAGACCACCAGUGGCGAAGGCGGCUUGCCAGAACGCGCUCGACGGUGAGGGAUGAAAGCUGGGGGAGCAAACCGGAUUAGAUACCCGGGUAGUCCCAGCUGUAAACGAUGCAGACUCGGUGAUGAAUUGGCUUUAUGCCAAUUCAGUGCCGCAGGGAAGCCGUUAAGUUUGCCGCCUGGGGAGUACGGUCGCAAGACUGAAACUUAAAGGAAUUGGCGGGGGAGCACCACAAGGGUGAAGCCUGCGGUUCAAUUGGAGCAACGCCGGAAAUCUUACCGGGGGCGACAGCAGAAUGAAGGUCAAGCUGAAGACUUUACCAGACAAGCUGAGAGGAGGUGCAUGGCCGUCGCCAGCUCGUGCCGUAAGGUGUCCUGUUAAGUCAGGUAACGAGCGAGACCCCUGCCUCUAGUUGCUACCAUUAUUCUCAGGAGUAGUGGAGCUAAUUAGAGGGACUGCCGUCGCUGAGACGGAGGAAGGAGGGGGCUACGGCAGGUCAGUAUGCCCCGAAACCCUCGGGCCACACGCGGGCUGCAAUGGUAAGGACAAUGAGUAUCGAUUCCGAAAGGAGGAGGCAAUCUCUAAACCUUACCACAGUUAUGAUUGAGGGCUGAAACUCGCCCUCAUGAAUAUGGAAUCCCUAGUAACCGCGUGUCACUAUCGCGCGGUGAAUACGUCCCUGCUCCUUGCACACACCGCCCGUCGCUUCAUCGAAGUUGGUUCUUGGCGAGGUGAUGCCUAAUUGGUACUAUCGAACCUGGGGUCAGCAACGAGGGAG
rnacentral:rRNA from 1 species